rnacentral:lncRNA from 1 species
GUACUCCAGCCUGGGUGACAGAGCAAGACCCUGUCUCAAAAAAUAAGUAAAUAAAUAAAAAGGUGGGGGGUGGAAAUGACAGGACCAUGCCUGUACCUUCCACCCCAAGAGCUGUGAUGGGGAUGAACUGAAGGGGCUGAGGCUCUCCUGAAAGGUGGGCUGGAGGGCAGAUAUUAGAAUGAGCUCCUGAACUCAGGAAUAGGCAGCAUGAUGGGUUCAAGAGAAACAGAAAUCUUCAAGAGGGAAGACAUUGAUCUGAGGGGCUUGCGGGGAGAAUGGAGUGUUGAGGUUUUUUUGGCUGAAGCAACUGGGUGGACAGUGGUAAAGCCAGAGUCAGAAAAGGAGGUGGGAGAGGUCAGCGCCUGGGAAGGGGAAAAUCCAGACCUGAGCUCCCGAGGCCUCUCCCCAUAUUAUUAAUCUCCUGCUGUAUAUACAUGUUUGCUUUUGAAGGACAUUUUCCCUCCAUGCUUUGAAGCCACUUAAUUCAUUAGUUCUUUAUCAUUUAUGUCCUAUUUCAUUAUGUUAUAAUCUUUACAGUUGUUAAUUUGCAUUUCAUUUCCUGCAGUGACAAAAAAAUUCUACCCAUGAAAAAUGUUAUUGUUGUAAAUAUUAAUACAAGUCACAAAUGAUCACCAUCCAGACCCAUUUAUCAUAGCAGCGGCUCCCUUUGUCUGAGGCUGGGUGGAUUCAGGAUAAUUAUUAAAAGCUAGAGCUCUGUAUGCCCCCAGGGCUGAAAGAAGCAGAGCUGGUCACAAGCCCUGAGACAAUGUUAAAAGAGGCAGAAAAAACAGUACCUGACUACAGCCGACUACCUGCAUUUGUACCUCCUGUGUCACUCUUGACACAGACCUCACACUGCCUGCACCUGAGCUUUUCAGAGGCCAAAGAAGGACAGAUGGCUGCUUUCAUGCCCAGCAGGGGAGAGUCUGUGACCGGGAGGAUGGAGCAGGGAAGGAGCCGAGGCAGAUUUCCCCAGGACGAGAGAAGGAUAUCCAAUUGCUCAUCAGGGAAGGUGCUAGGUCUCCCAGCCAGACGCCCUCAGAGGCCGGUGUCAAGUCUCCCUCACCUCUGUGAUGUGAAGUCAGCUCGUUCAUGACCUGGGCAGGCAGAGGGUCAGAGGGGCAGAUGGAGCACUCCUGGCCAGAUGAAGGGCUGUACAUGAGGUUUCCAGCUGCAAAUAAGCAUUAUCUGGUCCUGGCAGAUGGUAGAUGCACCUGACAACAAUAACUUAACCAUACCCUGAGAAUGACCCUGGAUGGCAGAUGUACCUGACAGCAGUGGCGUGGUUUGAGAAAUGAGAGUUGCACAAAGAGGUUUCUGUGGGGAGGGUGCCAAAUGAAGGUACUAUAUAAGCUGCAUGCUUUUUUUUUUUUUUUUUUUGAGACAGAGUCUCGCUCUGUUACCCAGGCUGGACUGCAAUGAUGUGAUCUCGGCUCACUGCAACCUCUGCCUCCCGGGUUCAAGUGGUUCUCUCACCUCUGCCUCCUGAGUAGCUGGGACUGCAGGCACAUGCCACCAUGCCUGGCUAAUUUUUGUAUCUUUAGUAGAGAUGGGGUUUCACCAUAUUGGCCAGGCUGGUCUUGAACUCCUGACCUCAAGUGAUCCACCCGCCUCGGCCUUCCAAAGUGCUGGGAUUACAGGCGUGAGCCACCAUGCCUGGCCAAGCUGCAUGCUUUUUGCAAGCAAUUGUAGUUCUUCUGUCUAGCCCACAGUCACUGGACUGUCCCUGUAUGUAAGUUCCCCUAAAUAAAACCCUAUGUCUCUUUUGCUGGCUUUGGGUCUCUUCUUCAGCCUCUUAAACCUGGUGCCAUCACUAUUGGAGUGAACAGGGGUCUAGCACAACAGUGGGGACCCA